CAGAGACCACCCAGUUGAGGUUGGUGGGUCUCUGGAAGCAGUCUCUGUUGGGCAGGACUCUAGGGCAAAGGAUUGCAACCUUGGUAUACUUGGCAGAAAAGUCUGGGAUGGCCGGACACUCUGCCCCAGCCUCCUCUGACUGCCACUCAAUCCUAAAUAGGCUCUACUUUGAAGCACCAUUCAUUAGGGGAAAUAAAUAACAUCUUAGUUGGCGUUUUCACAUUUGUUUUGAAGCCCUGGGAAAAAUUAGGCCCAUGUUUUACAAGGGCUUUCUGACUUCUUGAUCUUAUAACCAUUCAGAGCUGGGCUAGUCAGAUAGGAGCAAUUCUUCCCAUUGUGCAUGGGACCUAGACACUGUCAUUCUUUGUGUCUUAGGUCCCAAGAAGCAGUUCUCUACCCAAGAACCUUGCCAUUCUGGUUGUAGCUACAACAUGCUACCUAACUGAUGUCAGUUGUUCAUUGCAUACUCUUCACAGAACAACUUCCAGAGUGUUCCAGAAGAAAAGAUUCCUCUCUGGCCCUCAUUCUUCAGUGCUACUAUUGGUUUCACCGCUUCCAUCACCCAUGUAAUUAACUCAAAUGCUGACAAAACCAGGUCACCAAUCCAAGGGGGCCUUCCUGCCUGCCUUUCUCUGGGUCCUCUGCCGCUGGGUUACAACAUCCCCUUUCUCCAGCCUCAGCUUCCUUCUCCCAGGCCCUGGCCACUCACUGCGUCCUGAGGGUGAAGGCGGCGCUGGUGAUGGAUGUGGGCAGGUUUAGGCCUUUGGUGAUCUCCCUCCAGAUCUUCUUGUUGAUGAUCUCCACCAGGCCUCCCUUCUCGGUCACCAGCUUAUACAGCAUGUACAGGUCCAGGAUCUGUUUGGCCAUGAUGGGGAUUCGGUUGAUGGGGGUCCCUGUGGUUGUCCAACGAGAGAAAGAGACAGCGGGAUCAUCAUCAGGCUGAGAAGAAAGAUUCCGUGUAUGCCCACCUUUAGCCGAGCUGGAAACAAUGCUCAUCAACCUGGAAGUGUAAUUUAACUCAAACUCCCCAAGCCUGAACACUCAGACUAGCUGUCAGGACAGGUCCAACGCACAGGCUGUGUGGGCCUUUGGCAAAGCACUUAGCCUCUCUGGUUCUGUUUUGCCGUCUGUAAAUAAGAGGGCCAGACUAGAUGAUUUCAAAGGUGCUUGUUUUUUAGUUCGUGUGUGUGUGUUUUUGUUUUUGUUUUGCUGGCAGUAUGAUUCCAGACUAUUCCUAGUGAUCUGGCGACUUAUCUCUGCAGCUUUCAGACUCCAUUCAGCGGCAGCUUCCUCUGGGAUGCCUUUCUCUGACUUCCUAGAAGGGGAGCCCUGCCUAGUCACCCUCCUGGCAGCGCUCAGUGCUGCUUAUAAGAGUGUGCUCGCUGGCUGGGUGCGGUGGCUCACGCCUGUAAUCCUAGCACUUUGGGAGGCCGAAGCGGGCAGAUCACGAGGUCAGGAGAUCGAGACCAUCCUGGCUAACAUGGCGAAACCCCGUCUCUACUAAAAAUACAAAAAAAAUUAGCCUGGCAUGGUGGCAGGCGCCUGUAGUCCCAGCUACUCGGAAGGCUGAGACAGGAGAAUGGCAUGAACCCGGGAGGCGGAGCUUGCAGUGAGCCGAGAUCACACCACUGCACUCCAGCCUGGGCGACAGUGAGACUGUCUUAAAAAAAAAAAAAAAAAAAAAAAAAAAAGAGUGUGCUUGUUUGCACAUGCCUGCUUUCUCCUCUCCUGCUUGAUGGAGAAAUGGUUUAUUUCUCUCUCGUGUGCCCCGCCAUGUCAAAGGAGCUGCUGGACACACAGGUCUCCAGAGGAAUGAAAAGCCACUCAAUUCUCUCCCCACACCAAUCACUCCACCCACUCCCUGGCCUCUGAAAGGGGGAGGGUCAGAGCAGCUUCCACCCAAUGGCCCCGAGGGGAAGUGAGAGGAGCCAGGGACUUGAUUAGGAAACCUGGCACCGAGGAGGAAGGGCUACUAAUGAGCACCAGGGGAUAUGGUGAGGGCGGGGCAAGUCCUUUCACAGCCGGCUGGGAUGCUCAUCAGGAGGCGUGAUGGAUGACUGUCAUUUGGCAGCCUCGGGAUUAAUGAUCUGGAGGUCAGAGGGGAGAAUUCCACAGGGAAGGGUCACCGUCCAGGGCAGGGUAUGAGACUUGUUGCCUUUUGAUGGCAAACUCCUUUUACUGUACACAGACUACUGCUCCUCUGCCUUGCCCCCUCCCAUUGCCCCAGUCUCGCUGAGGUCUCACUGGGCUGCCUGGUGGACCUUAAACCAACCUGAGCAGGGAAGAGCUGUUUGUUUCUGCUCCAUCCGCCUUCUUUCCCUAAAGGCACAGCAGUUUUCUCAGCUCUGAAUGGCAGCCUCACCAACUCUUUUACAGGAUGGUUCAAGCCAGAGAAUGAAAAGGAAGCACUGUGGGCAUGGAUAUGUGGGGCUGCUGCGGCAGGACCAGGCCUCUUCUUCUUCUUUUUUUUUUUUUUUAAAAGAUAGGGUCUCACUCUGUUGCCCAGACUGGAGUGCAGCGGUGCAAUCAUGACUUAUUGCAGACUUAACCUCCAGCCAUCCUCCCACUCAGCCUCUUAAGUAGCUGGGAAUACAGGCACACACCACCACACUCAGGGAAUUUAAAAACAUUUUCUGUAGAGACAGGAUCUUCCUAUGUUGCCCAGGCUGGUCUCAAACUCCUAAGCUCAAGCAAUCCUCCUGCCUCAGCCUCCCAAAGCACAUGGACUGCAGCGUGAGCCACAGCACCUGGCUUAGGCCUCUUUCCUAAGUGUGGGGAGGGGGUUAGUGACCUUGAAGACCUUUAUCUUGACCUGCUGGUCCUUGGAGGGUCAAGGACAAAGGGGUCAUGGAAUUAGAUCCACAAAUUCAUAGGUAAAAUAACAGAGGAUUACGGGCAUACUCCUAAGACACACAGCUCAUGUGCUGGUUGACUUCUCCCAGUGCUGUUCUGGACAGUAAACCUUCCCCCUACCAGAAAGACAAAAGCCCCCAGCAGGACAGGGCUAACGUCGACCUCCUUUUGGAGGCCUAUCUGCCCAAACACACCCAUGGCCUUGAGUCCACACCUUCCAAGGCAUUACCUGGAGUGUCUGAGAGGACCACUCCCCAGGUCCCCUCACACAGGGCUCCUAAGCUCACAUUUCCGGAAGCUCCUAGGGCAUCUUCACACGUGUGACCCGUUUACUUCCAAGUCAGAAUGUUUGUGCUGGGCUCAUCUUCAUUCCCCUAAACUAGCUCCCUUUCCCCACACCUCAUUUUUUCCCAGCAACACUACCACCCUUGGAAGUUAGGCAGGAAGGCAGGAACCUCGUGUCAGCACUGGCUCCUCUCCUCUCCCUAUCACCCACUUUCAGGGUGUUAGAAGGCUUCAUGAUUCGUCCUUGGAGGUACCUCUCAAAGGCAUCUUCCUUUUUGGCCUGCAGCCACCAUCCUGGUCCAGGCCCUCUCUGGCCCACAGUUAGAUGCCUGCAGCAGCCUCUUAGCCAUACGAUCAACUUGAACACUGCAGCCAAUCUUAUUAAAAUACUACUUUUACCAUAUUACUCACCUCCUUGUUUAAAAACCUAUGAAAACUCUUAUUGCUUACCUAGCCCAUCUCACAUGUCCAAUCGCAUGACCCAUGUUCCUCAACACUCCCUUAGAAGAUCACAUGUGAAGUAUUCCUGGCAUAUCCAAGCAACUCUCUUGUACUCCAACUCACUGGGCCUUCUCCCUAUUGCCCCCAAAACACGCUCUUUUGUGCCUCCCCUCAAAUCCUUCACAGUGUUCUUCCAUAUCCACUCCUUCCAGGAAGCAUGUUCUCACUACCCCAGUUCAUGUGGGUUUCUUCCCUCUCAGAAUUUCUAUCAUGCCCCUAUAAGUUUAGCAAAUUGUCCUUCUCUAAUUGUUUCACAUCUGUCCAUCCGAUAUCCCAGGAGGACUGUCAGCUCUAUGAAGGCAGGGGUUGUCUUUCCUUUACCAUGCCUACCAUGCCUUAUAGUGUUAAUAAAUUAACCUACCCAGAAAUGUUUCUCGAGGUCUCACUAUGUUGCCCAGGCUGGUCUCAAACUCCUGGACUCAAGCAAUCCUCCCACUUCAGCCUCCCAAAGUGUUGGGAUGACAGGCGUGAGCCACGCACCCGGCUGAGAUUUUCUAGUGUGGUUCAAACUGCCUCUGAAGGCAACUCCCCAGAGAGGAAUUACAAAUUCAUUUUGAGUAGUCAUUGGACUAAUUGCCUGGCUGUUUGAGAUGGCAUCUUUGAAGGACAACAUUGUUAUAGAUGUAGAAAUUUCAUUAAAAAUUAGCCUCUUUAUAGUCACACACAACGUGACUGUAUUAUAUUAGACUGAGAACUGCUUAGGGCCAGGGGAACAAUGGCAGAUACAGAACCUGAGGAGACAAGGAAGGGUCACAGUGGUGUCUGAAGUCAAGGUUGUAACCUAACUAAUAAGUGAUCUCUUCCCAGAGGGGAAAGUGUACUCUUCUGGGAACUGUCAUCACACUACAGAGAAACCGCAGGUAAGAGGUGCACUGGAAACCGUGGUGGUGGCCCCUGCACCCUGCUGUGUGGCCCAGCUCCACCCAGGGCAUACUUGGGAAGCUGUUUUCCUCACUCCACAGUGAACUCUCCUCACACGAGCCCCCAUGCCCUGAUCAGGCACCCUGGUUCUGGAGAUCAAGCUGAUAAGGAGAUUGGGCGCAUUAUUCCCUGUGGCUGGCCCUCUGUGAAACUGUCAGUGGCUCCCAGUGCAGGCUGGCCCUUGGUGCCAUCAGAAACAGAGCGGAGGCUAUGCCGAGGGCUCUCUAGAUGACAGUGGCGCUUUCUCCCAUCAGAUAAUCCAGACACAAAAGCCUGCCGCGUCUUUGAUUCUUCUAACAACUGAGAGAAGCAGAAUCUGCAGGUUGGUCUCAGCAGUUUGCUUUGUGCUUAAUGGACCUGGUAGCCAUUUCUCUUGUCCAAAGUAGAUUCUACUAUGAAGAAAGAGAGAAGGCCUUUAAGCUAAGUUUACCUGCUGAACAAGAACCAAUAGGCAAUCGACAGACUCAGGCCUCAGUUUCCGCAAAUGUGAAGUGAGGAAUUUGGACUAGAUGAUUUUCAGUUCUAAAGUCUAUGAAUAAAAAAUUAAAACAAAAA